UAUUUCUUCCCCAGCCCGUGCGCAACCCACGUUCCGUCUUUCAUCCUCCACCCAACCACGCCAUGUGCCACCGUCCGGCGACACCGCCCAGCCCACCAGCUCCCCCACACUCCGGCGACCUCCCCCACCCCAACCUCGCUUCCUCACGCUCUUUCUCUCCUCCCUAUUGGCCGUGCGAAACCCAUUCGGGUUGGGGGUUGUUGCGUCACCACCAUUGGCCACCAUCUUCUCACCAUUUCAUUACCGGUUCUCUAGCAACCCAAAGCACCCUUCCGCAGCCCCGAUCCGCCACCUUUGAAGUCCCACCAUCUCCAUUUGUGUUUGAUGAUUUAAUACAUUGAGUUUUUAUUGUUUUACAAUUUUUUUGUAAAUAAAUGUAAUUCUUUUGGUUUUCCUUUCUAUAGGACUAAUGGAGUUUAGGGCAAGAACGACCUUUCUAGCGCUGUGGAGAACCUGAAGGGCUGAGAGGAAAUCUCUAGUUUGUGUUGCUGAUAAUUAUACCUACCGGCAUCAUAUUUUAGAUGUCCUGCCCCUGCGCAAACAGAAUAAGUGAAGUAUUGGAUUUGGAUAGGCACAAUGGUUGGGCCGAAGAGACAUGAUGCUCGGGCCAAAGAGGCACCACACAUGGACGGAACUGGUUAGAUCGAAGAGACAUGAAGAUUGGGUAGAAGAGGUACCACGCAUGGGCUGAACUGGCACGUGUAAAAGACCCACUUGGUUGAGUGCAAUGCUUCAAAAUAAUUUCAACAUGGGUUGAACUGGCACUUGUAAAAGACCCACUUGGAUGAGUGCAAUGCUUCAAAAUAAUUUCAACAAAAAUGUUGAACAAGUGUGGUUUGAACUAGUGACAUCAAACCCACUAGACUAGGCAUGUUCUUUAGUCUCUAAAUUAAACAAUAUGACCUUUAAACUAUAACUAUC